CCGUAACAAAGCACUAGGAAAUAAUGUUACAAAUAAACUAACAGAAAGUGUUAAACCAAAUAAUUGCAUUUAGCUAACACAAAGUAUCUAAACCAGGAGAUACAAAUUGUCACAGACCACAAAAAAAACACUUAUGGAUAGCACUCAUUAUUUGCAAAGUCUCUGAGAAUAAUGAGCUUAAAUAACAGUCUCUUUAGUUUGCC